rnacentral:rRNA from 1 species
GACGAACGCUGGCGGCGUGCCUAACACAUGCAAGUCGAACGGAACUGUUUUGAAAGAUUUCUUCGGAAUGAAUUUGAUUUCGUUUAGUGGCGGACGGGUGAGUAACGCGUGAGUAACCUGCCUUCAAGAGGGGAAUAACAUUCUGAAAAGAAUGCUAAUACCGCAUGACAUAUCGGAACCACAUGGUUUUGAUAUCAAAGAUUUUAUCGCUUGAAGAUGGACUCGCGUCCGAUUAGUUAGUUGGUGAGGUAACGGCUCACCAAGACCGCGAUCGGUAGCCGGACUGAGAGGUUGACCGGCCACAUUGGGACUGAGACACGGCCCAGACUCCUACGGGAGGCAGCAGGGGGGGAUAUUGCUCAAUGGGGGCAACCCUGACGCAGCAACGCCGCGUGAAGGAUGAAGGUUUUCUGAAUGUAAACUUCUUUUAUUAAGGACGAAAAAUGACGGUACUUAAUGAAUAAGCUCCGGCUAACUACGUG